GUAGGCAAACGAAUUGACCCACGUGGUAGCACGUGGGUGACUUGAGUGUGAAGCGCCAUUUAAAAUAGGUGGGGCUACAGUUCUUUAACAUUUCUAUGCUCUUCAAUCAUUCUUCUGGGUAAGAAAUUUAAUAACAGUUCACAAUGGCUGACUACUGGACGCAGUGAAGGAGAGCAAGAUGAAGGCACUACAGUUGAACGAGAUGGUCCACUAACUGUACUAUGGAGUAAUACUGAUAGACUCACUCCAUCAACUAGAGUACACUACACUCCACAGAAUUCCAGUUUAAUAUUUGUCAUAGAUAUGGCA